AUUGAACGCUGGCGGCAUGCCUUACACAUGCAAGUCGAACGGUAACGCGGGGCAACCUGGCGACGAGUGGCGAACGGGUGAGUAAUGCAUCGGAACGUGCCCAGUAGUGGGGGAUAGCCCGGCGAAAGCCGGAUUAAUACCGCAUACGACCUACGGGUGAAAGGGGGGGAUCGCAAGACCUCUCGCUAUUUGAGCGGCCGAUGUCAGAUUAGGUAGUUGGUGGGGUAAAGGCCUACCAAGCCGACGAUCUGUAGCUGGUCUGAGAGGACGACCAGCCACACUGGGACUGAGACACGGCCCAGACUCCUACGGGAGGCAGCAGUGGGGAAUUUUGGACAAUGGGCGCAAGCCUGAUCCAGCCAUGCCGCGUGCGGGAAGAAGGCCUUCGGGUUGUAAACCGCUUUUGUUAGGGAAGAAAUCUUCUGGGUUAAUACCUCGGGAGGAUGACGGUACCUGAAGAAUAAGCACCGGCUAACUACGUGCCAGCAGCCGCAGUAAAAC
rnacentral:rRNA from 1 species